rnacentral:misc_RNA from 1 species
ACACCUCACCUCUUCAUGGUUUCUCCAUGAUGAGCUUGGACUUUGGGGGUUUGCUGGCCUAUGGUCGGCUCCUCUAAAAUGAAUCAGCUUGCCAGUGUUUGGUGGGCAUCACAGGUGUGAUAACUAUCCACGCUUGUGGUUUUCCACCAGGUAACCUUCAGCAGUGGAGGUUCACUGGAGCUCACAGAUGUCUCUCCUCAGUGAGGACAGCCCUUUGAAU